rnacentral:snoRNA from 1 species
AUCCUUCAGCUUCCUGACCCAUCAAAUCUAAACAUUGGUCAGCCGGUUACAAAUGGGGCAAAAGUAUAAUAGAAACUGACUGCAAUUCCUUUGGGACACACAGACUAAUUUCAAACAAGU